GAUGAACGCUGGCGGCGUGCCUAAUACAUGCAAGUCGAGCGAACAGAUGAGGAGCUUGCUCCCCUGACGUUAGCGGCGGACGGGUGAGUAACACGUGGAUAACCUACCUAUAAGACUGGGAUAACUUCGGGAAACCGGAGCUAAUACCGGAUAAUAUAUUGAACCGCAUGGUUCAAUAGUGAAAGACGGUUUUGCUGUCACUUAUAGAUGGAUCCGCGCCGCAUUAGCUAGUUGGUAAGGUAACGGCUUACCAAGGCAACGAUGCGUAGCCGACCUGAGAGGGUGAUCGGCCACACUGGAACUGCGACACGGUCCAGACUCCUACGGGAGGCAGCAGUAGGGAAUCUUCCGCAAUGGGCGAAAGCCUGACGGAGCAACGCCGCGUGAGUGAUGAAGGUCUUCGGAUCGUAAAACUCUGUUAUUAGGGAAGAACAAAUGUGUAAGUAACUAUGCACGUCUUGACGGUACCUAAUCAGAAAGCCACGGCUAACUACGUG
rnacentral:rRNA from 1 species